UACGUAGGGCGCAAGCGUUGUCCGGAAUUAUUGGGCGUAAAGAGCUCGUAGGCGGCUUGUCACGUCGGGUGUGAAAGACCGGGGCUUAACCCCGGUUCUGCAUUCGAUACGGGCUAGCUAGAGUGUGGUAGGGGAGAUCGGAAUUCCUGGUGUAGCGGUGAAAUGCGCAGAUAUCAGGAAGAACACCCGUGGCGAAGGCGGCUCUCUGGGACGGUACUGACGCUGAGACGCGAAAGCGUGGGGAGCGAACAGG
rnacentral:rRNA from 1 species